GAUAAACGCUGGCGGCGCACAUAAGACAUGCAAGUCGAACGAACUUAAUACCUUGCUUGCAAGGUAAGCGGUUAGUGGCGGACUGGUGAGUAACACGUAAGAAAUCUGCCUAUCAGAGGGGAAUAACAGUGAGAAAUCAUUGCUAAUACCGCAUAUGCCAUAGGAAUCGCAUGCUUCUAGUGGGAAAGGAGUAAUCCGCUGAUAGAUGAGCUUGCGUCUGAUUAGCUAGUUGGUGGGGUAAAGGCCUACCAAGGCGACGAUCAGUAGCCGGACUGAGAGGUUGGACGGCCACAUUGGGACUGAGGUACGGCCCAGACUCCUACGGGAGGCAGCAGUCGGGAAUAUUGCGCAAUGGAGGAAACUCUGACGCAGUGACGCCGCGUAUAGGAAGAAGGUUUUCGGAUUGUAAACUAUUGUCCAUAGGGAAGAUAAAAGACUGUACCUAUGAAGAAAGCUCCAGCUAACUACGUGCCAGCAGCCGCCGUAA
rnacentral:rRNA from 1 species